CGCGCCAGGCGUCCUGUCCGGUCACCCACCCCUGCGCCCCCGCCGCGACACCCCCAGGAGGAGCAGCCCGAGGGGUCCGCUCGCCCCUCGCCAUCCCCCGCAGGAGCCGCACCAAGGUCUGCACCGAGCCAGUGUCCCUGUGGGACCAUUCCAGGUUACCUGCUUUGGCCCCAGGAGCACGGCAGUGUCCUCUCGUCCCUCUCUUCCUGAGGUCUUUCCAGCGGAGAAGGGGUAAUGGAUCAUAGGACUUAUCCAGUAUAUUCAGGGAGUUUAAUCAUUGGCUGCUGAAAUGAACAGGACCCGAGCGCCUCAGCACGAGUGAGUUUCAGAAAUCCCCUGCCAGAUCUGAACUCGUCAGCGCCCGUGAAGUGGCACGAGUCGGCCCAGCGCUGUCAUUUCCCAGUGGGUACAUUCAGCACACCCUCCUCAACACCCGUAGCACCACCUUUUCCAGACACAUCCCUGGUAUUUUGUCAGCCCUUGGAACACGGUGCAAAGUGCUGGUAGCUGUCCUACAAGUGACCUGUGGUAGCACAGCCUGGGAUGAAUCCUUAAUGCUUUCACAGGCCCAGACACAACAGGCAGAGAGAAUACUCUCAUUUUUGUAAUUAAUUCCGUAAAAUGAGCUGGUGUAAAACUGGCCACAUUUCCAGAGGUGCUAAGGCCGGCUGCUGGGCUUUGGGGGCAUCACAGGACUCACAGGGGAAAAAUUGUGCUUUCAGAAAUUGACACUUUGUGGGCUGCCUUCCUCCUUCUGCACAGAUGGGGAACGCUUGGGAAUUGCUCUCCUCUGCCUCACAGAGUUUUCCAGCCGAGUCCUGACCAUCUCUAAGGAUGGAAGGUUGUGUGGUGGGGUAGGGCAAAGGUGAUGUGACAGUCAGGUUUUGUGUGUGAGGCAGCAAAACAGAAAGCAGUGUUUCUGGCCUCAGCAGUCUCCUCUCCUGGCUGCAGGCUGCCUACCCCACACACGCACACUGCUCUCCAAAUUCCAGCUUUCCUCAGCACUUUGAGCUUGCAGCCCAAUUUCGUUCCGUCAGCUGUAUUAUUAAUCAGCAGGCUGUGAAUUAUGAUGCUAUAACCCACGUACUUUUUAUAUUUUACACUGAAAAUGGAAUAAAUUGGUGAGUAGUAAACAAAAUCCCAGCGUUCCAGGAGCAGCGCGCAACUGGCACGGCUGAGCGAGGGGAGCUGUGGGGGAUGUGGGGCCAGGACAGAUGGGAGCCCACGGAGAAUGACCUCACCCAGGCUGGACCCCCUUGUCAGCAGAUUGAAGCAGUCAGUGGAGUGGUUGUCCAAGCUCUUUACGGAUCCCAGGGUGGCAAACACACCCCUGAGAUCGUCUCUCUCCUGCUUCUCACCCAAGGUCCCACUUGUUCUGUUCAGCUGGGAUGGAAGAACCCAAACACCCAAACCCCCUGCCACUUCAGGAAAGAUCUUGAGGGUCUGGAGCGUGUGCAGGGAAGGGAACGGAGCUGGGGAAGGGGCUGGAGCAGCAGGAGCGGCUGAGGGAGCUGGGGGGGCUCAGCCUGGAGAAAAGGAGU